CCUACGGGAGGCAGCAGUGAGGAAUAUUGGUCAAUGGCCGAGAGGCUGAACCAGCCAAGUCGCGUGAGGGAAGACGGCCCUACGGGUUGUAAACCUCUUUUGUCGGGGAGCAAAGCGCACCACUUGUGGUUCAUUGAGAGUACCCGAAGAAAAAGCAUCGGCUAACUCCGUGCCAGCAGCCGCGGUAAUACGGAGGAUGCGAGCGUUAACCGGAUUUAUUGGGUGUAAAGGGUGGGCAGGCGGAGGUGCAAGUCAGCGGUCCAAUGGCGGAGCUCCACCCCGUACUGCGGUUGAAACUGCAUCCCUUGAGUGCGCGAGAAGUAUGCGGAAUGCGUGGGGUAGCGGUGAAAUGCAUAGAUAUCACGCAGAACUCCGAUUGCGAAGGCAGCAUACCGGCGCGAAACUGACGCUCAUGCACGAAAGCGUGGGUAUCGAACAGGAUUAGAUACCCCAGUAGUC
rnacentral:rRNA from 1 species